rnacentral:rRNA from 1 species
AGAGUUUGAUCAUGGCUCAGAACGAACGCUGGCGGCAGGCUUAACACAUGCAAGUCGAACGCCCCGCAAGGGGAGUGGCAGACGGGUGAGUAACGCGUGGGAAUCUACCUAGUUCUACGGAACAACUGAGGGAAACUUCAGCUAAUACCGUAUACGCCCUACGGGGGAAAGAUUUAUCGGAAUUAGAUGAGCCCGCGUAAGAUUAGCUAGUUGGUGGGGUAAUGGCCUACCAAGGCGACGAUCUUUAGCUGGUCUGAGAGGAUGAUCAGCCACACUGGGACUGAGACACGGCCCAGACUCCUACGGGAGGCAGCAGUGGGGAAUAUUGGACAAUGGGCGCAAGCCUGAUCCAGCCAUGCCGCGUGAGUGAUGAAGGCCUUAGGGUUGUAAAGCUCUUUCAGUGGGGAAGAUAAUGACGGUACCCACAGAAGAAGCCCCGGCUAACUUCGUGCCAGCAGCCGCGGUAAUACGAAGGGGGCUAGCGUUGUUCGGAUUUACUGGGCGUAAAGCGCACGUAGGCGGAUUGUUAAGUCAGGGGUGAAAUCCUGGAGCUCAACUCCAGAACUGCCUUCGAUACUGUAUGGCUUGAGACCGGAAGAGGUAAGUGGAACUGCGAGUGUAGAGGUGAAAUUCGUAGAUAUUCGCAAGAACACCAGUGGCGAAGGCGGCUUACUGGUCCGGUUCUGACGCUGAGGCGCGAAAGCGUGGGGAGCAAACAGGAUUAGAUACCCUAGUAGUCC